GCUUCACACCAGCAUGAAACCAGAUUCACUUUGCGGAGACAACAAGGUUCCUGUAUCCUGGACUGAGACAGAAACAUGCAGGCAAACCAAAACAUUCAAGUCCAACAUUCCCUCUCUUUUAGCUCUGGUUUCUCUCAGCUCAGAAUGAGCUGGAAGAUGCUAAAACACUUGGUGAAAGGAACUUAAAGGUGUUCAGAAGGAGGCAGUUCUUGUCACUCCAUUCACUGAAGGCCAUCGUCAGAUCCCUGUAGGGGAGAACGGGGUAAUGUGAGACAUCGGGUAAUGUGAGACACCCCUUGUAUCUAGGCAACGGAACACAUUUGUGGUCAUGUGACCAUUGUGUUUUCAAGCCCCUCCCAUUUCCCAUUGGCCAUGAAGGAGAGGACCUCAUUGUGCUGUGGUGAAGAUUGGUUUGGCAGAUUCCUAGUACGUCGCCAUCUCUCUGUCUGAACUCCAGAGGCAACAUCCCUGGGAAGGGCUACAGCCUUGACAAUCUGGCUGCAGUGAUGGACAGGCAUACAUUCCCUCCACACAUGAUCUACAAUGUGGAUGAAACAGGCGUCUUUACAGUACAAAAGCCACAGCAGGUUGUGACAGAGAAAGGAAAAAAGCAAGUUGGUUCUGUCACAUCAGCUGAGAAAGGAGAACUGGUGACUGUGGUGUAUGCAGUAAAUGCUGCUGGGAAUGCCACACCUCCCAUGUUUGUCUUCCCCAGAGUUAGGUUUAAGGACUGCUUCAUGAUAAGAGCACCUCCAGGAGCCAAAGGUACCUCCACCAGAACGGGAUGGAUAAAUGAAGACACCUGGGCUGAGUUCCUCGAUCACCUGAUACACCACACUAACUGCACCCCUGACCGUCCCAUGCUGCUAAUCCUGGAUAAUCUUAAAGCUCAAAUCUCACUUAAGGCAGUGGAAAUAGCCAAGAGCAAUGGUAUUGUUCUGCUCACCCUCCCACCCCACACAUCCCAUCGCAUGCAGCCUCUUGAUGUGACCAUGUUUGGCCCAUUCAAGACCCAAUACAGCCGAGCUCUUGAUGGGUGGAUGAGAACUAACCCUGGCAAAACAGUCUCCAUCUACCAGAUUGCAGGACUUGUGAAUGAGGCCUUCAUAUCAGCAGUGACACCACGCAACAUCACCUCUGGAUUUAGGUCCACUGGGAUUUUCCCAUAUAACUGAGAGAUUUUCCCUGAUGAAGCUUUUGCACCAUCUAUGGUGUCAGACCGGCCAAACCCUGAGCUGCAGCCUGCCCCUGCAGAUGAUCUGGAUGGUCCACCCUCUGCAGAUGAUGCAACCCCUGCAGAUGAUUUGGAUGGUCCACCCCCUGCAGAUGAACCACCCGCUGCAGAUAAUUCACUCGCUGAUGCAAAUCCAUCCACUGCUUUUGGUCCACAUGACUGUGCCUCGCCUGGAUAUGUGUCUCCUCGUGAAAUCCUACCACUUCCCAAAUGUCCCCCCAGAACACAAAUCAAACGAAAGCGUGUGAAGACAGCCAUCCUAACUGAUACUCCUGAGAAGCAGGCAAUUGAAAAGGCUUAUAAAGAAAGACAAAAGAAACUGGCAGGGAAAAAGCAAAAUAGCAAAGAAAAGGGAAAACCGAAAAAGAAAGAAACCAAAAAGAAAAUCGUAGUUAGCAGCUCUGAGGAGAGUGAUGUCCCUGUCCCACUAGAUAAUGUGUCUGACGAAGAGAGCUCUGAGGAUGAGAGAAAUGAUCCAGGAAACACAGAUCUGUCCAUGGGUGACUUUGCCAUAUGUUACGGCCGCCACUCUGGCCAUUUUUGUUGUUUAAUUUCCCUGUCUGCCAGGCUGCCUGCCGAGCUGCCUGCUGCGUCCACCCAGAUGCUCCACCCUCUCUGGCCUGAUUGGUGCCAUUUGUUGCAGCCGGCCAAUCCCUGCCGCCCAAUCAGGAACCCCGGAUAUAAAACUCCGGCUCGCCUGUCAGUUGAGGCAGCUGACUGUUAGUGGCAGCUCGCCUCUUUGUUGAGAGAACAUUUGUAUUGCUUGUAAAAUAGCAGAGAUUCGUAGCUGGUUUUGUGACUGCUUUGUUUGUUUUGUUUUACCCAUGGUAAUCUUUGAAGCCUGGAAGUGGGGUCAGGUUUAGGAUUUACUGUGAUACUGAUUUUGCUGAUUCCUCCUCUUGUAGUAUUUAUUUAGUUAGAGACACUAGGUGAAGGGGUGCUGUUCCCGGCGUGUUUUUGGUUUUUAGUCAGCCUUGGUAGUUAGUAUUGUUUUUCCUUUUACUUUGAGUUAGGUAAAUGAUUUCACCUGUUAGCUCCUAGAGAGUCCUCCUUUUGUUAUAUUCUGUUUUUGAUUUGGACAGCAUCCGCCGGCCCCGUUCCUUGGUUUGUUUUUGUCCAUGAAAACCAUUAUUUUCACCAUUUGUGCUAUAAUAAACAACCUUAUACCUAAUACCAACUGGGUUUUGUGUUGCUUCCCUUUCCCGUGUGAGCCGGGUUGUAACACCAUAGUUAACUUUGCAACCAAACACAGGAGCGUCCGUUACAUUGGCAUGGUUGAGAAAGUUGAGGAUGACGAAAUACUUGCACAAUUUCUCAGAAGAAUCCAGGGAAACACGAAAGAGUGGGAGAGACCCAACACACACAAGGAAAAUGAUGUGGCACA